rnacentral:lncRNA from 1 species
CUGGGGGCUCGUUCUCCUCCUCGGCCACCUCCGCCAGGAAGUCCUCGUCGUCUUCCUCCUCGUGGUCCUCUAUGUCGUCCGUCCAGAACCAGGCUCCUGAAGGUGACAAAGGCAGGCCAGAAGAGAGAGCCUUGCGAGGCACCUGUGCAGGCAAUGAACAACAUGUAGAUGGAGCUGGCUCGGUGGGGCUCCUGUUGAUGGCUCAAACACCUAAGACAUCGUGACG